CAUGAAAAUAAACCUUUAUUUCAGUUAACACCCACCAAUAUUAAAGAUAAAUGUUCACAGUUUUAGUUCUUGACACAAAUGGACUGAAAGAGGUGAAUUUACAUCUGGCAGAACAGCAGAAGGACCAAUUUUAAGUUACAAGCUGUGUUGAAAAUCACUCUAGGUGCCAUUUGGGAAUGCUCUAGAGCAGGAAAAGGGAAAAAUCCAGCCAGCAAAAUCACCUGGGUGGCAUCUGGAGCAGCAGUUUGGAUGAAGGAAGGGUUGAGUUCCAGGGAAACUUUGCUCCACUUGUUUGUGUGUCAGCCAGGCUGUCCCUAAGGCUGGAAGGGCAGCACAUCCCACCUGACAGUGGGAGAGGGAAAAGGAACAGCCCCACUCUGAGAGCAGACUCAGGAGAGGAGAACCAAGGGAUUUUCCCACCCUCUGAUGGAAAAUCUGCCUCCUCCUCCUGCCCGGGGCUGGAAAUCCAGGUGAGGGAACUGAUCCAUGAUACUCACAGUGGGUCACAACUGGAAUUCUCGUGGAAAACAGCUCAGGAAAAGCAAAGGCAGCUGCUAACACCCCAGCUGAGCAGGCUGGUAUUCCAUACUCCAAGGUCUCCAACACUUCCUGCCUGUCCUGUACAGUUUUUAUAAAAAUAGGGUGUUACCUUUAGUUUUCUACCUACGUACAGAACUACAAAUCUGUUCUAAGCUGGCCAAAGAGGAAAGCUUGAAAUAAAAUUAAGAGAUUUGUUCUUACUCUCCUAACAAAUGCUGAUAAAACCUAUAGGAAUUCCUCUUUAUGAGCCAGUCACUCAGCUCCUUUUGUGUAUUGAAGGGAUACACGGGGAUGAAAUUGAACCUAUGGUGGGAUUUUGAGGGGGGAGAAGGAAUUUCUUACAAUCAUUCCCUGGAAAAAAACAUUCCUUGGUGAUGUCCCAGGCAGAUCAUGAGCACUGCACUGAGCCAGAGCUGCAUUUGGAUGGAGAGGUGGAGUGUUGAGGUUGUGGGGUGAAUUUUUGGUGUCCCAUGCACAGAUUGCCACUGUCCCAGUGUCCAACCAUGAGCCACAACUCCCUCCUGAGCCAGCCCAGCUCCCUCCUGGGAACACCUGGAGCAGUGCUGGGAAUGCCUCAGGUACUGCUGCACCUGUGUGGCAACCCCACAUCCCACCUGGAAUCCACCUGGGCUUCCAGAGCCACAGCUGCCACCUUCCCCCCACUCCCAGCUCCAACAGCUCCCCCAGACUCAUGGAAUUCCAGCUCCAAGGAAAGGAAUUGCCCCAAUCUCACGUAAUCCCAGCUCCAAGGACAUGAAUUCCCUGCGUUUCAGGGUAUCCCAGCUCCAAGGACAGGAAUUUCCCCCAUUCUCAUGAAAUUCCAGCUCCAACAGCAGGAAUUCCCUCUAUUUCAGGGCAUCCCAGCUGCAACAACGGAAUUCCCUCGAUCUCAGGGUAUCCUCUCAAACAAAAAGCAAAGGUACUUAAAAAACUCUUUUUUUUUGCCAAAAAUGCAUCUUGUUCUGUUGAAGGGAAGGAAGAGGAAAUGAAGGUCCAAAGGGGGAGUGCAAGGUGGGAUACAAGAAUUUUAAAAACCUGGUUUUCAGACCAGUUACCCAUUGCUGGAACCAUACACAGGUAUUGAGUCAUAAACCAAUGUGCUUUGAACCUUGAUUUCAAGUAUCUGCUUUAAAUUUUCAAGAAAGAUUUUGUGUAAACAAACUACCCAACAGAGAUGAAGAAAUUUCUGGUUUUCCAUGUUGGAAGUGAAGCAUUAAAACUUAAGUACUCCAGGAGUUCAUUCCAUACAGCACUAACAGUCUGCCAAAUUAAUAUUCCACAGAUUCCAUGGGCUGAGAAAAAUCUGCCAAAGAGGAAUUAAAGAAACUGAAGUAGUGUGCAAUAAUUAAAACCUAAUUUGGAGUUUGGGGGAGGAAUGGGGAAAAGUCUAAAAUCCUGAUUUUAAAUUAAAAAAAAAAAAAAAAGAACACAAAUGAAGGGAAAGCUUUUAACUGGUACACACUGUUCACACCUAUAUUUCAAGUUUGGAAACGCAUAUUUUCAAGCAGCAAUACAAAAAAGUAUCCAUGAAGAAUGCAUAAUCUCUGAAAAAAUUAUGAAAACAUCCCUGCUACCAUUACAUUUCUAAAUACAAAACUUGACUACCAUAUUGUUGCUUCUGUGUAGCGAGAGAAGUUCAUUUUCAAAACAGAUAAAAUUCAGUCUUUAGGUGUGAAUGGUAUGAAUGACAGUCUCUUUUUUUUUGUUUGUUUUUGUUUUGUUUUUUUUCAAUUUCUUAGUUGUUUUAGGAUCCUUAAGCAUGCAAGCC
rnacentral:lncRNA from 1 species